rnacentral:misc_RNA from 1 species
UCACCCCUCAAGCUCAGCUUGGUGUUGGGGCCUGCUGUAAAGGCAGCCCUUAAAAUCAGUGGCAGUGCUGUCAGGCUCUAAGCGUAGUAAAACCAUCGCUAUAGGGUCCUGGUGGUUAUUCGCCAAAACCCCCCAAUUUUUAAU